rnacentral:rRNA from 1 species
AUUGAGCGCUGGCGGCAGGCUUAACACAUGCAAGUCGAGCGGGGUGAUGGUGCUUGCACUAUCACUUAGCGGCGGACGGGUGAGUAAUGCUUAGGGAUCUGCCUAUUAGUGGGGGACAACAUCUCGAAAGGGAUGCUAAUACCGCAUACGUCCUACGGGAGAAAGCAGGGGAUCACUUGUGACCUUGCGCUAAUAGAUGAGCCUAAGUCGGAUUAGCUAGUUGGUGGGGUAAAGGCCUACCAAGGCGACGAUCUGUAGCGGGUCUGAGAGGAUGAUCCGCCACACUGGGACUGAGACACGGCCCAGACUCCUACGGGAGGCAGCAGUGGGGAAUAUUGGACAAUGGGGGGAACCCUGAUCCAGCCAUGCCGCGUGUGUGAAGAAGGCCUUAUGGUUGUAAAGCACUUUAAGCGAGGAGGAGGCUCUUUUGGUUAAUACCCAAGAUGAGUGGACGUUACUCGCAGAAUAAGCACCGGCUAACUCUGUGCCAGCCGCCGCAGUAA